rnacentral:rRNA from 1 species
CUACGGGGGGCAGCAGUGAGGAAUAUUGGACAAUGGGGGGAACCCUGAUGCAGCAACGCCGCGUGGAGGAUGACGCAUUUCGGUGUGUAAACUCCUUUUAUAUGUCAAGAAAAUGACGGUAGCAUAUGAAUAAGCACCGGCUAACUCCGUGCCAGCAGCCGCGGUAAUACGGAGGGUGCAAGCGUUACUCGGAAUCACUGAGCGUAAAGGACGCGUAGGCGGGUUGGAAAGUCAGGUGUGAAAUCCUACAGCUUAACUGUAGAACUGCACUUGAAACUUCUAAUCUAGAGUAUGGGAGGGGGAGAUGGAAUUAGUGGUGUAGGGGUAAAAUCCGUAGAUAUCACUAGGAAUACCUAAAGCGAAGGCGAUCUCCUGGAACAUUACUGACGCUAAGGCGUGAAAGCGUGGGGAGCAAACAGGAUUAGAUACCCGGGUAGUC